GCGGGAGUGGCGAAAUUGGUAGACGCACCAGAUUUAGGUUCUGGCGCCGCAAGGUGUGCGAGUUCAAGCCUCGCCUCCCGCACCA
rnacentral:tRNA from 1 species